CAGGCUUUUGUUCCAGCCCAGAAAUCAUGACACACUCCUGUGCCUCAAACAAUUAAGUUGAAUAUUGUGAUAUUUCAAUUAUGAAGUGGUAUAUUUCACACAAUUUGUUUUGCGCUGACAAAAUAUGAUCUCUAAUGGAACAUGUAUAAGAAGACUGGCCGUAGGAACAUUGCCCUUGAAGUCAAGAUGUGCAGGAUCUGAUGGCUUGGACACAUUUUGACGGACAGUGGUAGCUGUGCUGGAGUAGAUUGGUCUCAUGGGACAGGGCACGGACUGUGGCAAGGCACUCAAGCAGUAGAAGGACUAAGUAAAUUAUGUCAAUUUAAUUCCGUCAAAAUGCUGCGUUAACGGACCUACAAUUGCUACAUCAAAUCUGCAAAGCCAGAGGAAAAAGGGUUAGGACCCGCGGUAACCAGGAUUCCUCAGAACAGCACACGUCAACAAACCAGAGGCGUAUACCGACACAGAAGGCCCAAUAUGGCGAGAGGACGUGUUCGAGGAGGAAUUUGGCGCCCAAGACAUACCUAGUAAAUAAUUGAAACCAGAUCAUUUCAACGCCUUAUAUGACAAUUCUACGGUAGACGAUUUGUUGAUGUAUGAGGCGGCCAAACACCUUGAUACAGCCAAUUCUGAGGUAGAAACAACAGAUCCUGAAAUAGAUCAGGAUCGGUUUCUCUCGGCCUUUUACAGGGCUCUAAAAUCCAGAAAUGUUCAGCUACACAAAAGUAUGGUUGCUUUACUAAAGCGUCAAUACAGUCAACAUUUAUCCUUCUGGCAUAGAACAAUGCCCCGUUUGUUAAACAACAAUCUGAUUUUUUUUUUAAACGCAAAAACAAGCACUAAAACCUGUAUGUAACAUGGAUCCGUCUAGAAUACCAGAGGACCUCAUAUCCUUAAUUAACCAAAUGAAUGAGAGCACAACAUCUUCCACACCAUCCCCCACACACCUCCUUUAACUCCCAUGUCCGAGGAGCCUGAGCAACCACACAAUGUUUUUGAGGAAUUGGAAAAUUGUGUAAUAAAUCAGUGGCGAUGGUAUUGAUAGAAGUGUUCGUGUUGUGUACCGAAAUAAAUUCAGCAAUACAGAGAUUUGACAAUUAAAAAAAAAAAAAAUCACAUGGAUGAAUCAACCUUGAUUAUGCAGUUUGUUUUAUGUGAUGAUCUUUGAUACGCUGAGCAAACUUUUAGAAAGGGCAACAGAUUUUUCCAAACCUCGUGAUGUCUUACAGCUUGAAAUUUGUGGAGAUAGUAUGCAAAACACUAUCUCUUGUUUUACCCAAUGGCGAAGCAAAUCUUGAACAAUUUAUAGCCCGGCUGGAAAGACUUGUUCAAUCUAUUUUAUUCAUCAUAGCUGAUCGGACACUAGAGCUCGUUGUACACAUUGUACGUCAACCCCUAGGCGGAGGUGGUCAGAUAAGGAAACUUGGUAGUCUCAUGCAAUCAGAAAUCAUAAACAAUAAAAGGGCAUAUCUCAAACUUUCACAAUCCUGGUAAUCAGUUAUGCUUUGCAAUAGGCCUAGCACAUUUACUCAGCCCUGGAUGUACUGAUCUAGAGGCUUUACAAAAGGCUAGGGAGCUCCAAAAUGCCGUGGGUCUAGGUAUACAGGAUGCUGUGGCUUUCUCUGACAUAGUCAAAUUUGACAUUUUUCUGAACAUCAAGAUUGUGGUUUUGUACCAUAUAAGCUCUAAUUCAGCUCUCUUGAAAUUCCAGAACAACCCACAACCUCAUCCUCAGAUUCUGUACUUUUUAUAUGCAAAACACGCAUUAUUAUGCUAUUACCAACAUCACUGUUUUUAGGAUGCCAUAUGUGUGCCCAUGUCAUACAGGCUACACCCGAAAGUGGGGGCACUUGUCGUUAUAACUGUUCAGUAUGUCUGUGCGGAUUGUCAACGCACAUGUCAUUUGGCCUACUCCUACGAAAAACACAAAAUUGAAACAUGGCACCCCAAGGCAUGUAAAUCUGUAAGGAGCUGUGACAUUAACAAGAAAUGUCCAAAAUGCCAUUGCAAUUACAACCUUAAAAUAGACAGCCCUAAACCUCAUGUGUGUGGAAUCAUACAUUGCCCAAUCUGUAAAGGGCCUUUGAAAUGCAGAGGCGCUGAAGUGGUUCAAGAAGUGCCACACGAGUGUUAUAUUCAGCCUUCGGCUGAAGAUGAACAUUCAGAGAAAUAUGUGUUUUAUGAUAGAGACUAAUCAGAAAUCGGGUUCCUUUGCCUAUUUUUGUAUCUACCGUGACUUUCAAGGGUGAAAAGUGGUCGGCAGAGGGGCCCAAUUGUGCACUACUCUUUCUAAAACACUUCAGAAAACCCUAGUACAGAAACUUCACAUUUAUAGCUUUCAAUUCUAGAGCCUAUCUUCUUUUGAACCCCCUGAUACAACAAGGCGUUGCACCCAGUGUCAGAGCGCAAGGUAGUAAAAUCCUGUGUUUUGUAGACCCCGCCUUCAACCAGAGAUACAUUGACAGUUUAAGUUUCUUACCCAUGAGAUUGGCUCAAAUGCCAGAGGCCUUGGGUUUUGAAAACUCUGUGGAAGGUUGGUUUCCUCAUUUCUUCACAUCUGAGGAGAAUCUACAUUAUAUUGGAUCUUAUCCCAGCCCCGAAAUGUACGGGUGUGAUCAAAUGUCUCCCAAAGAGCGAGAGAGAUUCAUGAUAGUAUGGUAUGAGACAAUAUGUCAUAACACAUUUUGAUUUCCAUAAAGAGAUUGAGUCAUACUGUGACAAUGUGGUUAUACUUCGUGAAGGAUGCCUCAAAUUCAGAGAAGUGGUAAUCAAAGAUGCAGGCAUUGACCCCUGGAGUUGUCCCACUAUUUCAUCGGCAUGUAUGAAAACCAAUCGUAUACACUUUUUACCUCCAGCAUCUAUAGCUAUUCCAUUGCCCGACAACUACUGACGCCAAUUCAAGUCAUACUCUAGCUGGUCCAUUCAAUAGUUGGAGUACUUGGCCCAGGAUAAAAAAAAACAUUUUUAUUCAACAUGCUUUGAAUAGAGGGGAGAAGACUGUUGGGCCAUAUCACGUAGAUGGAUACACAGAUUGACGGUGUUGAGACAGUGUUUGAGUACAACGGGUAUUUCUUCCACGGUUGUAAAUCUUGCUUUGUGCCCCAGGCCAUGUGUUUCUUAACCCAAAAUACUUUUGGGGAUAUGUACCAGGAGUUCCAAGACAAAUUGGAAUCUUUACAGGCUACUUAUGGGUUGAAAGUGAAUGUGAUGUGGGAGCAUGAGUGGACCGAACUCAAAAAGUCUAAUCCUCAUUUUCGAGCUUUCCUUUCCAGCUUUGACACGUCAGAACACUAGGAACCCCGACAGGCCUUGUAUGGAAGUCGUACCAAUGCUUUGACAUUAUGGUAUGUAGCGCAACCCGACGAGACAAUAGGACAUGUAGAUUUUACAUCCCUUUAUCCUCAUGUGAUGAGUUCCUCUUGCUAUCCUAUGGGUCAUCCUGAAAUGAUUCACUGUGACUUUGACUUACCCCAAAACUAUUUUGGUCUGAUUAAAGCAACGGUUUACCCUCCCCAGGGUUUGUUUCUGCCAGUGUUGCCUUAAGGGACCUCAAGAAACACUUUUCUUUCCCCUUUGUCGCACCUACAGUAAAAACAACAACCAGGAAAAGUCUUGUGAUCAAGAAAGAGCCCUGACGGGUGUCCGUUGAAUUCUCUAAGGCUCUAGAGAAGGGGUAUCGUGUGGCCAAAAUCUUUGAAGUGUGGAACUUUUCCAGGAAAUCAGACACUCACUUUUUUUUUUUUUUUUAAAGAGUACAUCAAGACCUUCUUGAGAUGCAGGAUACCCUGAUGCCAUUUGCUUGCAUCAGUCACAGAUCACGAGCGCAAAGACAAAUACAUUCAGGACUAUCACGACCGAGAAGGUAUACCUGACAGAAUAGAGGUCAACAAAACCAAAAUAAAUCUGUCAAUUGUAUUUAAACUCGCUUUGGGGCAAACUAUCCCAGAGAAGCAAUAUGCUAACAAUGUCGAUCAUUAAAGACCCCAAAGAAUUUUUGGAAUUUGUUUUUUUUUCGGACCAAUACGAAAUUUCACAUUUUUCAUUCUUGAGUCAAGACAUUGCCCUGGUGCAAUGGAGACAAGAAGUGGGUUCUACCCCCGGGUAAUGUAAAUGUGUUUCUUGCAGCAUUUACCACGGCCUAUGGUCGACAUGAACUGUACACGCUCAUGGAACAGUUGCAGAGGCGUGUUCUUUAUCAUGACUCAGGCUCUGUGGUCUAUGUAAGCAAACCAGGUGAUUGGAACCCCCCUCUUAGCAACUAUCUGAGUGGUUUAACGAGUGAACUCGAAGAUGGGGACCAUAUCACAGAGUGGUCCUCCUGUGGUCCCAAAAUAUAUGCUUUUAGGACUAAAGACAAUCAUGUAGUGUUGAAAGCCGAAGGCUUUUAAAAAAAACUAUGAAAAUGCCCCGUGUGUAAACUUGGAGUAAAUCACAUGCAUGGUCGAGGGGUUCAUAAACGACCGGAAUAGUGAAUUGGAAAUUUUGAACUCCUACAAAAAGAUUGUUAGGGAUAAAAAGGUUUUCCAUCUAACAAAAUUGGUGACUGGUUUAAUGCUACAUUUGGAAAUGCGAUGGGAAAAGUUAUGUUGACUUUGUUUUUAUUGUUUACUCCUAUACUUGUAGGAGGUUUGGUAAUUUUGGUUACUGUUUAUAUUUUUAAGAAAAUGACUAACUGCUCUUGAACAUGCUGGAAUGAUGAUGUUGGUUGAAGCUGAUACAAAUUGUGCUGAAGAUGAUACUGGUGCAUUUCUGGUUUCUCUUAAUCCCAUUUGUUUAUUCAACUCGUGUGGUUCUUCCCAGGACUCAUGAGGAAUGGGAGUAUAGACAGACUCACCCCACCAGCAAUCCAGGAACCUCAGGAGUUGUUUCUCCCUUUAGCAGGCCAUCCCUGGGAUCAAAUGGAUCCAGGGGAUUUGCCUAAUCUAUUUGAAUUCAGAGGAGAAUAUUAGGAUUGAAGCUGUGAGACUAAUUUGUCUCAAAGGGGGAAAUGUCAGGGGUUCACCUAGGGGUCAUGAUAGGGGCUGUUUGAUGUAUUAUAAUAAAUGAUUAUGCUUACAGUGCCUUGCAAAAGUAUUCGGCCCCCUUGAACUU